UCGCUUCAUUUCCUCUUCUUUUGUCUCCU
rnacentral:piRNA from 1 species